AUUGAACGCUGGCGGCAGGCCUAACACAUGCAAGUCGAACGAGUGGCGGGAGGGUGUGUAAUGGCUGGGAAACUGCCCGAUGGAGGGGGAUCACUACUGGAAACGGUAGCUAAUACCGCAUACCAUCGGAUGUGCCCAGAUGGGAUAAGCUCGGAGGUGGGGUAACGGCUCACCUAGGCUAGGAACCCUAGCUGGUCUGAGAGGAUGACCAGCCAAUCGGGAACGGGGACACGGUCCAGACUCCUAAGGGGGGCAGCAGGGGGAAAUAUUUCACAAUGGGCGCAAGCCUGAUGCAGCCAUGCCGCGUGGAUGAUGAAGGCCUUCGGGUUUUAAAGUACUUUCAGCGAGGAGGCGUUACUCGCAGAAGAAGCAACGGCUAACUCCGUGCCAGCAGCCGCGGUAAUAC
rnacentral:rRNA from 1 species